rnacentral:lncRNA from 1 species
ACAAACAAACAAACAAAAAUAUGGGAUUAACAAAUAACCAAGACCCUGGGAAAAAGAACAUCAAUAGGUUACACAACACGAUUAGAGGCAAUGGAAAAAAAAUUACAGAAUUUUUGAGUUGGAAGUGACUUCCCAGAUCAUGGUGCCUAACCUCAUGUACCUGAAGAGGACGGAGAGGGUCAGAGAAGUUAAGGUACCCGUCACUGGAAAAGAAAUGUAUCUAUUGACUUCCUCAUUCUACAGCUCCUCACCUCCUGCCUGCCUAAGCUCCAGUUGCAAGGAAGGGAGAUAGAGUGAGAAGAAUAAAAAUAAAGAAGUUGCUCAUCUCUUCAUUUUGCAUGAGGACCUUGAAGUUUGCACAGCAUGGUGACGGUGACACCAAAUGAAAAGAGGACUGAGAACAGACUGUAAGCGCCCAGCAUAAUGAGCAUUAACACUUACUGUGAUGGGGAGACUGUUUCCAUGAAUGCCAACUGAGAUCUAGAAGACUGUGUUAGGUUUUUAACAGCCAUAUCCUACAAUGGGAUUAUAUUUGAGUUUGUAACCACCUAAAAUCCUCAGACCUUCUUUUUUUUUCCCAUGAAAAUGAGUGAGUCUCUUGUCUUUUAUCUGUAUGAUAACAUUUUAAAUUUAAAUAUAGGGUUUUAUGUUUAUUCCUGUUAUAUUUAAUCUCUUUGGUUUUGAUCCAGCAAUUCAGCCUGCCAAAAAUUCAGAUUGCUAAAUAAGGGAUACCAAUCAGAUGUUUUCUAUCUUCCCUGGAGAAACUAAGGAACUUCAAGUUUAAAAUGCCUCAUGAAGAAUUGGGAUAAAAUAUAAAGAAUUUCCUGAAGAAAGGGAGGAAGAUGAUUGUGUACUGAAUGAUUGCAAUAGAACAUCUGAAAAUGUAAAAUGAAAAGGAUAACUGAACUUUUCUAUGAAGAGCUUGAUUAUGGCCAUACAUUGAAUUAAUGAGCAUUCAGUGAGUCCACAGUUCUUUGUUGAGGGUCUCCUGCAUGCCAUACACUGUGCUACGUCCUGGGGCUCCAUAAAUUCUUUGUUAACAAAAUAAAAAUACCCCCAUACAGAGAAGCACUUUCAGAUACAUUACCUCAUCUCUAACAGAACACACAGUCAACAGAACCAUGCGGAGGCUGAUCAAUAUUCUAAACAAUAGUUUCAUAAAUACUGUCCCUAGACUCGUCUACUCACUGGGAGCUGCAGGGGUUGGUAUUCUAGCUAGCAAAUGAAACAAUCUGCAUACAUGCUUAAAUCAAGUUUGUUUAAAAUUAGAAAAUGGCAUAAUGUAUUCAAAAGUUUUUAUGCAGUAUUUGCAUGGAAUUUAAAAUAUGCUACAUGCUUUGAAUUAGGAGAGCAGAGCGAUGUGUAGCUCAUCUAUUGGUCUGAUCGAAUGUUUAAAAAUCAAAUUUUAGAGAGCUCUGUACUUAAAUAACUGUAAAAGAAAAUAAAAUCAGAAUGCAUAA